GCGGUUGUGGUCUAGCCUGGUAGGACACAGACAUCUGGAGCCUGCAAUCCCGGGUUCAAAUCCCGGCGGCCGCACCA
rnacentral:tRNA from 1 species